AAGAUCCAACCCAAAAUCAGCCUCUCUGCUUCGGUUGCCUGUGUGUUUUCGAAAUACAUUUCAACACGUUCGGGUGUCCACAUUCUUUUGGCCAUGUACUGAGAUGUGAGAAAUGUUUUAAAGCAGAAAAUCAGAGUCGGCCUGAUCGCUGCAGGAGUGAGGAGUGUGUUGGCGGCGAUCUCACACCUCCUCGGUUUCCAUGGUGCGUGUGUGUGUGUGUGUGUGUGUUUUCAGAGCCGUGAUGAAGGCAGCUUGUUCUUAUUGCUGCCUCGCUGGUGGAGUUUCUGUCGUUGAUGGAGCUAGGCUCGCAGUUUCCCUGCUUCCAGUCUUUCAAAAUGUAACUGCUCCUUUAGGCAAUAACGCCACUUGAUUUUUGUGCGAGGUUUCGAGGAGGUCAUCUGUUUCCAGACGGAGUUAGCUCCUGGUUCUGCUCAGCUGUUUGGAGUCGGUGUUUCUGGUUCUGCUCAGCUGGAGGUGAAGCUCGGCCUGGUUGGUUCAUUUGGAAAGACCACAGGGAAAGCGGUGUGCGGUGGAGGGGGGCUUCCCUCUGUUCCUGCAUGUGAACACUAUCUGCAGUACAGUGCUGCGAUGAGUCACUUCUACUGGCUCAAGUUUGCGUUUUUAUUGUCUUUAUUAUGUGUCAUCUCAAAGAAACAUCUGCACACUGAGGUCCAAAGCAAAUAUUCAAUGAUUAAAUUCAACGAUCAUCAAAUAGAGCACACCUGUGCUUUCUCAUGCAAGUACACAGGACACGUGCAGUUUACAACUGUAGCUCCCAAAGUCUAAAUACGGAGGAAAGUUCACAGAUACAGCAUCAUGUGUGACUUCUUGUAAAACAGCAGGUCUGAAACUCAGUGUCUUCUGCUCUCAAGGCGGAUAAAGGGACGUUUCUCUUUUUCCUACCAGUCAGUAGAACAAAAGGUCACAUUAGAUCAGGCCCUGAUCUGGACGACAAGAAGACAAAACAUGCUGGGAAAAGUCUCAGUGGGGUUUGGGUCGGGGGUUGCGGUGGGGAGUGCAGGGUCUGAGGAGCUUCGACAGGUGAGGAGGUGACGGGCCGCGAAGACUUACGAAGGUAAGACUUACAGCAGCUGCAGAGAGCGACGUUACUGCGGUCAAGCCUCGACGAAUCGCAUCGGUGAGAAUUUCUGCACUUCUGGUGAACUCGGGACGUGAGGCGGAGGAAAGACGCUUCAGUGAUGCUGUUCAUGUUUCUCUCAAACGGAAGUCAAAGUGGGCUCAGCAAGUUUCUCUCCUUUAGUUGGAGAAUAAAAGCAGGAAGUCUCUGAUGCAACUGCACUGAAAAGACAGGUGAAACUAACCUGAACUGUGUGUGUGUGUGUGUGUGUGUGUGUGUGCAGGGUGUGGUAGGUUCACUGACUGAAGGAUCAGAGAGAAACAAAAGGCAGGUUUCAGGAGAUCCAGUCUGCAGGAUUUCACGCCGACGAGGGCUCAAAAGGAACGGUUUGAGCCGAUCUUUUGUUCUCAUGAAGAGUUUUCAUGUCCAGUUUCAAGUCUUCUUAAAAAAGCUUGCCGCAGGACUUUCAGGUCUCGUGAUGCCGGUCGUUAAAAUGAGCUGAGGGGCUCAAUGCAGAAAUACAGUAAAUUAUAAUAUGUGAGGCUGUUGUUGAUUGUUGCAGGAUUUUAAACUGUUCUUAACUGGACGUGUAAAUAUAUGCAUACGCUUUUCUUUCAGUGCUGCGUGUGUGUAUUCAUGCAUGUUUUUAUUCUAUGUGUACCUGUGUGAGUCCCGUCAAAGACUAAUGUCCAUCGCUUUGCAUCAAACAAAGACGUUUUUCUGAUUCUGACUCUGAAAACUUGAGACCUGUUGACUGUCAGUCUCAAGUGUGAAGUCCAAAGCUCUGCGUGUCCAGUACAGAGACAGUCCGUCACAACUUCAAGUCUCUCUGAUUUACAUGUUGUAUCUCGUUAGCUAACAGGUUAGCCACCCAUUCAUCUGGCAGUCAGCUGGGUUUAGUUGACUGAAGCCAGGAGUCAAGAUAGAAGCUCUAAGCUAACAGAAUCUAGAAGCUAACUCUAAGCUGCGCUAACAAGACCUAGAAACAAACCCUAAGCUAACAGGACCUAAAAGCUAGCAAUAUGCUAAUGUGACCUAUGACUUCCAGUUCUGAACUUCUGAUGACAUUGUGUUAAUCCUGCACAUGGGCAGCUAAUGGGACCCAGAAGCUUACAGGAAUCAGAUGCUAAUUUGACCUAAAAGCUAACUCCAUUUAUGGCUUUACCUAAAAAUGUUAAGAAGAAGAUUUGGAGGAAUCUUUUCCAUUAUUUUGAUAAUCAGCAUUGUAGAAAUAGACAAAAAAAAAAAAGGAAUAACACAAAGGCCCCCGCUGCAGUAAAACUAGGCUACCAGGACGCCGGUAAACUGUGUAAAUUGUUAGCAUUAGAGACAGAUGACAAGGCCUCCUUGUUGUUGAUUGUUCCAGGAUUUUAAACUGUACGUGUAAAUAUACGUAUAUGUUUUUGUUGUAGAAACAGAAAUAUAAAAAGGAGCACAGAGUUAGCUUCUCGGCCCUGUUAGUGCAGAAUUAACCUCCGUGUCGUGUUCGUUAGCGCCGUGCCUCCCGGCUCUGGCUUGCAGCUAACAAGGUACAACAUGUCCGGCAUCUUUAUGGCAGGAUUUCAGUAUUUUCCCCAUCACUGAGCAGAAUAAAACAGCAGAGAACAGCACGUUAUUGGCUCGCUAUGUGCUUUUCUCAUGUUCCUGAUCUUUGAAGGUUAUUCUUUGCUCCUGUGGUGUUUUCCUUUGAGCGAUUUGGAUAUUUCUAAAAGAGUACACUGAGUCCUUCCAGCUGCGUGUCGGUGUGUGUUAGUGUGUAACCUGCUGGGCUGUAAACUGAAGCUCUGCAGCCAACUCUCUGCAAACAGCCUCCGGCCUCUGCCCGUGAUGUCACAUCCUGAUGUCACAUCCUGUUGUAACGGGGACUCCGCCGCUCUGCUGACGCCACUGGCCUGUUUGUUUUGGCAGCCAGCCCGUCCCUGCUGGGGCCACGGGGCGGACGGGGACCGCGACUCCACACAGAUACAGACCUGAACUGACUUUAGAGAUUUAGAAAGAGAAAUAAUCUGAUGCCUGAAGGAAAAUAUCACAAUAACACAGUAAGAUGCAACAGUGACUGUCAGUAUAUCUGAGUUCACGUGGACGUGUCGCCCACGCUGAGGCGUAAUAACGACUCUCACUGUCACGGAGACUUUGUGACAGAACUUUUUCCACAUGUUGAACGUGUCAGAUUUCUGGUUUGAAGCCUCUCGGCAGCUCUGGUGGUUUCCUCUCUUCACACUUUCUGCAGUUUCAGUUUAUAAAGUCCUGACCGCGGCGGCAAGACGCCUUAACCCUUUGAACCCUGGGCUUUUUUAAAAACUCUCUCUAACUGCAGACUUUUGCAUCUGCAAGCUGCGUCUCUCAGCUGGACAUGUCAUGCGUUGUUAUCUUCAGGAGAACUCGGGCGUCUCAGAAAUGCCAUCAGUUUGCAUGUGAACGCUACUAAACGUGUUCUAGCACAGUUUUACACACCUGGUGUUGCCAUGGAGACAGUAAGCACAGUUAGCGUAGCCCCAUUUCUUCACGUUUUGGUGAAUCAGCACCAUGAAAAGUCCUGCUGCAUCAGUAGGAUUACUGCUGAUAUGCGCAAAACACGUGUUCAUGUAUUCAAUUCAACUUUAUUGUCAUUAUACUUGCUUACAACGAAACUUGUCAUGCCAAGAUAGUGCAUACGUGUAAAAGUUACAUCCAUAAUUCUGCACAUACGAGUGUUCAGUGUGUAAACAAGCACAUACAGAGGUGCAUAAAUCAGUAAGUAAGAAAUGCGUCUCUUAUUUAUGGACAGUGGUUGUCGUGGUUACAUAUUAUACACAUCAACAGUGAGUGUGAGGAGGUGAACUUGCCGAAGACAAACAGCUCACACCCUGACUGUACACCGAACUAUACGAACUGAUCUGGCAUCAGUGAUGCAGAACCAGAAACAUGGACGUCACUGAGAGAGCAGAGAGGUCACAUGACUUUAAUCUGAUCUGAAGGAAGGAAUGUACCAACCUGCGCUAAUGACUUUACACGCCCAUAGUGGUUUUCAGUGUGUGCUGAGAGGAGAGAACAGGGAGUGACUGAGAGAAACUGUCAGUCCUGUAAUCAGGUACUUUUACUGCGGUAUUUCAUCCAAAGCAACGCGCAGGUGAGGCGCAAUCAGCUCCAUAGUUGUUUAUAUGCAUUUUGAAAGAAAUGUGAUGCUACCUGAAUCCUGUUUCUGCCAACACGAGGAGAAUUAAGGUUUUUGUGGUUGAGUUUAAGCACUCACAGCGCCUGGUUCAGGUUCAGGUUCAGGAAAGAUGGAGGUCUUUAUGGUUAAAAAUGAGUAAGUAAGUAUGAGACAACACUGAACCAAAGCCACCAUGUUCCCUGAACCUGUACCAAAGCUAAGCUAGCUAACAACAGGGAGGACUCUGGUCCUGAACUUACCAUCCACCCCGACUGCCUCUUUCAGACCUCUGUGCAUAUACGAACUUAACACUUCCUGGACUGGAAAAAACAUAACCCAGGCAGCAGUUUUCAGGAGACAGGGUUGGUUUGAUGACUGUGGAAGUGUUCUGAAAUAUUAAAGGCAAAGAGUUUCUGUAACAAUAAUAAUAACGAGGUGUAAAUGACAAAUGGCAGAGCUUGUACAUUUCUACACUUCUACAUUUAAUAACCUAUAAAAAGGCAACUCAUGGAAUAAUAUGACUGAUGAUGUGAUGUGACCCUCUGUGUGUGUGUGUUCAGUGUGUUUUCAGCACACGAUGUUCAGGAAUAGCAGCUUUAUUUUUAUACCAACGCUCAUGAUGAAUGUGUAUCACAGUUCAUUUCUGUUCGGCUGCAGCGUCCACACACAGCGAGGAGGCUUCCCUGCUCUCAGCCCUGCGUCACGUCGCCGUGGAAACAGAUGGAGCCCGCCGAUUGGGCCGUUGGGCCGAGCAGCUGCGGGAGCCCGGAGCCGCGGCCGUCUUUGUUUGAUAACGAGCAGAGGCCGAGCCGACCGACACGUCGACGCGUCGACACGUUACGUAGGGAGAUCCUGCUGCCGCGUCACUGACCAUGUAAGGCUGCUUCAGGAUCAGCUUCAGAGAGAUGAGUCACAGAGGAGGAGGAGGUUCAGUCAGAGGUUGUGGAUGCUGGACUUUCCCCACAGCACCUGAACGCAGCAGUCUUCAGCUGUCUGUCCUCCAUCAUCCUGCUGCAGAUUUUAUUCCCAAACACACAAAUGGAAACAGGCUGCGGAUUCAAGUCUGCUGGUGUAUUGAGAAAUACAUUGAAACUGCUGUAGUUCAGCUGUCUGCACUGGGAAACACCAGCAUGCCAACGCUGUGUGUCUAAGAAUAGCACGCCUCUCCCGGUCUCCCAGGCAGUGUUUGGACACAAGGGUGUGAACGUACUCUUCAUCAUCCUGCCCCUGAUGCUGAUAUUUAUCUGAUGACUCAGGUGUUAGCGUGUUAGCAGCGUGUUUGCAGCCGAACCUCCCCCAGACCUGCUGAUUUAGUCCAGGACUCGUCACAGCCCACAUCCACACACACGCAAACAACAGCAACAGCAACAGCAACAUUACAGAAGCCAAAACCGAAGACCAGUCGAGACAAAUGGCUAAAAUUCUCUACGGAUGCUGCACUUUAUCAUAUAUGUGCACAGCAGUGAGAGUUGGUUUCUGCUCGGAAAGAUCUGUUGUGAACGUCCACACUGGAAGGUGGAGGGAAAAGCCGACCAUCGUUUUGGAUGAAGCAGAAAGGAGUCAUUGUGACGAACCUCAUCUACACCUCCUUCGACCACACGCCUCUUUGUAUCCCAUGUGCAGAUUUAAACCAAUAACAAGUUUGUCGUGUGACCGGUGGUUUGGAUUCAGAAGCUGCAUGUUUUCAGGACAAAAAUCAAAUAUUACAUAUAUGUAACUAAAAAUUGGCAAUAUUCCCAGCUACGUUGCAUUUAAAUCAAUCCAGCAAA